rnacentral:rRNA from 1 species
CCUACGGGAGGCAGCAGUAGGGAAUAUUGCUCAAUGGGGGAAACCCUGAAGCAGCAACGCCGCGUGGAGGAUGAAGGAUUUCGGAAUGUAAACUCCUUUUGUUAGAGAAGAUAAUGACGGUAUCUAACGAAUAAGCACCGGCUAACUCCGGGCCAGCAGCCGCGGUAAUACGGAGGGGGCAAGCGUUAUUCGGAUUCACUGGGCGUAAAGAGCGCGUAGGCGGGAUAGCAAGUCAGAUGUGAAAUCCUAUGGCUUAACCAUAGAACUGCAUUGGAAACUGUUAUUCUAGAGUAUGGGAGAGGUAGGUGGAAUUCUUGGUGUAGGGGUAAAAUCCGUAGAGAUCAAGAGGAAUACUCAUGGCGAAGGCGACCUACUAGAACAUAACUGACGCUGAUGCGCGAAAGCGUGGGGAGCAAACAGGAUUAGAUACCCUUGUAGUC